GACGAACCGUGCGAACGUUGUUCGGAAUCACUGGGCUUAAAGGGCGCGUAGGCGGCCUGUUAAGUCGGACGUGAAAUCCCCGGGCCUAACCUGGGAACUGCAUUUGUGACUGCAUGGCUAGAGUUUGUCAGAGGGGGGUGGAAUUCCACGUGUAGCAGUGAAAUGCGUAGAUAUGUGGAGGAACACCGAUGGCGAAGGCAGCCCCCUGGGAUGUGACUGACGCUCAUGUACGAAAGCGUGGGGAGCAAACAGG
rnacentral:rRNA from 1 species